rnacentral:lncRNA from 1 species
AGGUGGCAAGGAGAGACAGGUAUCAUGGAGGAAACUUCAGAGAUCAUGCAGAUUUCAGUAGUAGAUUUCUUAUUCUGUUUGGCAGAAAUGUCUGCUUUGCAGAGUUGAUUCAAAGUGCUAUUGAAUUCUCCCUCAACCCCUGCCAGAACAUGAGAGCCACAUUGGCCGUGCUGGAGAAAGGCAUAAAAUGCCUUCUAUUCUAAGUACAUAUGGACCCCUGGCAACUGCAGAGGUAAUCAUUAACUCUGACUUCCCUUUGUUCUCCUGCCAGCUUGCUAAGUGCGUAACUGUGCUUGUGGCAGUCAGGGGGUUCUGACCCACUCAUACUAAAAGAUGUAGUGGAGAACGAAAGAGGUCAUGGACUAAGCCUCUCCAUGAAAUGGAGAGCAACACUUGUGCUGCAGCAACCUUGUAAUGUGAAAGAUCAUCCUGAGGACUUCAGGUGUGUGAAGACCCGUUUGAAGAAACAAAGGAAAGUGCCAGGUGUUGUUUUUGAGAUGGAAAUGCACUCAGCAGCAGGUAGAAGCCCAGACAUCCUUGUUCUACAGGGACGUGGAAUUCUGUGUGCUGACUUUGGGAGGAGUGCUGGACAAUGUGGGAAGAUCUCCAUCUUAACUCUGUAUGAGAGCAAGAGGGCAAAAAGAAUGAAAUGAAGCAGAAAAAGAAUCUCCUCUAACUCAGAAGUCACCUGAAUUGCAAGAGCUGCACUUCUGCUUUCACUCUGCCGUGGAUUUGCAUUGUCUGAUGCCAGAGACAGGAGUCCUGACACUCACCAGCCUGCCUUGGAGAAGAGUAGACAGUUUGUACCUCAGAAACCACUGGCCCUGAAAGAAUAGGUACAUUAAAUAUUAGCAGUUUCCAGUCCUCACCCUGGCCUAGCUGUCAGCGAGUUCAUUUGCUUGUCUGGAGGGACCACAGGAAUGUAGGAGUCAAGGGGAAAUAUCACAAGAGUGAUGGACUGUGAGGCUCCCAGGUUCCCUCUGCCAUUGCAGAGCUCUUCGACCUAUUGUAAUCGUCACCAGACAAAAUGAGUCUUUUUCCUUCCAGACAGAUUGGAGGCAAAGGACAGUGCUUUAGAGUCAAUGUUACAUUUAAGAAACAACAUGCAAUUCAAACCUUGUAAUUAUCAUGAUUUUUCAGCUUCUAUUUCUUCCCCACUGACAAAAGAAAGAAAAUAAGGACUUUCAUGGAAAACUAAAUUAAGGUGAAGGCUGAUAUCUUAAUAGGCUCUGCCUAGAUCUGUGCAUCUCAAUUCUUGAUGGGCCUCCAGUUUGUUCCUGUACUGAUUGCUGUCCUCGGUGCUGCAGUUUUUUGAGGUGAUCCCUUCCUUGUCGUGUGAAGCUUUCCCAGCCUGAUUUUAAGUCUGGUCAGGUUCCUCCUGCUUCCUCCCAUUCUGGUCCAACCAGAAGAUGUGGGAGCAAUUGCAGUAGGUUCCUCAGAAGCUUCACAGACGGAAUGAGAAAACUAAGCCAGAACAAACCAGCCCUUGCAAGGUUUGAAGAAACAGCAGUGUCAGAUUUGGGGACAGAAUGGAAAAACUAUGUUUUCACAUCUUCUGACAUGCCC